UAAGGAAUAUUGGUCAAUGGACGCAAGUCUGAACCAGCCAUGCCGCGUGAAGGAUGAAGGUCCUCUGGAUUGUAAACUUCUUUUAUCUGGGACGAAAACGGGAUUUUUAUCUCAAUUGACGGUACCAGAGGAAUAAGCACCGGCUAACUCCGUGCCAGCAGCCGCGGUAAUACGGAGGGUGCGAGCGUUAUCCGGAUUUACUGGGUUUAAAGGGUGCGUAGGUGGGCUUAUAAGUCAGUGGUGAAAUCUCCGAGCUUAACUUGGAAACCGCCGUUGAGACUUUAGGUCUUGAAUUAUCUGGAGGUAAGCGGAAUAUGUCAUGUAGCGGUGAAAUGCUUAGAUAUGACAUAGAACACCAAUUGCGAAGGCAGCUUACUACAUAUAAAUUGACGCUGAGGCACGAAAGC
rnacentral:rRNA from 1 species